UACGUAGGGGGCAAGCGUUGUCCGGAUUUAUUGGGCGUAAAGAGCGUGUAGGCGGCCUGAAAGGUCAGCUGUGAAAACUCGAGGCUCAACCUCGAGACGUCGGUUGAAACCAUCUGGCUAGAGUCCGGAAGAGGAGUGUGGAAUUCCCGGUGUAGCAGUGAAAUGCGCAGAUAUCGGGAAGAACACCCGUGGCGAAGGCGGCACUCUGGGACGGUACUGACGCUGAGACGCGAAAGCGUGGGGAGCGAACAGG
rnacentral:rRNA from 1 species